CUGGUGUUCCGUCGGUUUUACCACAGUGAGCUCCAUCGGCACCGGGUAUGACCUGUCUGCCUCUACAUUCUCUCCUGAUGGAAGAGUUUUUCAAGUUGAAUAUGCCAUGAAGGCUGUGGAAAAUAGUAGUACAGCUAUUGGAAUCAGAUGUAAAGAUGGUGUUGUCUUUGGGGUAGAAAAAUUAGUCCUUUCUAAACUUUAUGAAGAAGGUUCCAACAAACGUCUUUUUAAUGUUGAUCGGCAUGUUGGAAUGGCAGUAGCAGGCUUAUUGGCAGAUGCUCGUUCUUUAGCAGACAUAGCAAGAGAAGAAGCUUCCAACUUUAGAUCUAACUUUGGCUAUAACAUUCCACUCAAACAUCUUGCAGACAGAGUGGCCAUGUAUGUCCAUGUGUACACGCUCUACAGUGCUGUGAGACCUUUUGGCUGCAGUUUCACGUUAGGGUCUAACAGUGUGAAUGAUGGUGCACAACUCUACAUGAGCGACCCAUCAGGUGUUUCAUACGGUUAUUGGGGCUGUGCUAUUGGCAAAGCCAGGCAAGCUGCAAAGACAGAAAUAGAAAAGCUUCAGAUGAAAGAAAUGACCUGCCGGGAUAUUGUUAAAGAAGUUGUGGCUCUGCGCCUAUAG